rnacentral:sRNA from 1 species
GUGUGUGCACACAUGCAUGACAAUGUGGAGGUCUAAGGACGGCUGUGGUGUUAAUUUCUUCCAGUGACCACAUUCAGGUUGCCAGGCCCCCUCAUCUUGUCAUCCCACCAGCCCUAAAUUGGUCUCUGUUUGAGGUCCUUGUCAAUCUCGUUGCUGAGUGACAAGUGGCAAUCUACUGUGAAGUCUGGCAGAACAAUCACGAUUUACCAUCAACUAAGUUGAUGGGGGGGGGGUGUGUGUGGGUGUGUGUGACUUUGAAAACCAAACCAAACCAGAUCUCUGUUCGAUAUCUUGUUUUCUUUACAGGUUCAGCUGACACUGUUUUUGUGGCAUGGUAUGCUGGCAGGCACUGGCCAGGAGCAGCGCAGGCACGGGAGACAGUGACCUUUUGAUUCCUUGUUCUUAUAUAGGUCUCUUAAGAAUCCGGGUCCUUAUGAGCAGUACCACUCCUCUACCCCCAAGCUCCUUGUGCUUCCUUGAAAGGCUGUCUCUUUAGUCCUGGUGCCACCACACAGGAUCUGGAGUGCCCAGGGCUUGGCAGACAGCAAGUUCCUGACAACUGUGAGCUGUUCAUACUGAGACAUCUGCAGGCAAGUCAAAUAGGCCAGAACUCGGCCACAGGAGCCACCCCUGAGACAAUGCCGUAUUGUGUGGAGGAAAACACAACACCCUUAGCUUCCUACUGGGCCAGACUCCGAGUACACGCAUCUCGAAAGCUGAGGGGAGCUUGUCUAAACGUGUGGCAGCAGCAGAUUCCUCGUGGCUCAGGUACGAGUGUCCUGAAGUUGAAUCCGUGCGGGUGGAAAGAAGGCGAGGAAGCUCACGCCCUCACAAUAAGCAGCGCCAGGCACGCCUGAACCGUGUCUGUGUGGUUACAGGUAGUGAGAGGUGAGGCCAACAGUGUAGACAGAUUCUGCUCUCUUCGCCUUCACCCCUCAGAGCCUCGAAAGAAUGGAAUGACUCACCCCUCAGGGAGCAAAGGCGCCAGAACAUUCUGUCAAAUGACCUACACCACAAGGAAAACAAGUCCUGAAGUGCAUUUUUAGUUUGAAGAAGACUUACUGAAUAUAAGGGCAAGAAAGACCUCGAAGCUUGAGAGCUCAACUAAAAUUUCCAUUUUCUUUUUUUUUUUUUCGUCUCUUGUCUUUUUCUCGUUUCAAGUGUGGAACCUCAAGGCUCUGGCUCUUAGAAGGCUUCUUCAGGGUCCUCCCAGGAGCCGAGCCCACUCUAGAGCCAGCAUCAGGUCCAUCUUGUCAAGUACCAUGGGCAUCGUGCGUCUUUGCAUGACAGCUUUUUACAAAAUGCCUGACAGAACGGCCAAAUGCGUUUCCAGUUUUAAGUAUGACCAAGCAUCAGUCUGCAACUAAGCAAAGCAUUAUACAAGGAUCGUGCAGACAUCAGUUUCCCAUUUUGAUAAUUACGUAAGAUAUUAUACAGGGCUGUAAGGAGGGCUUAGCCAUUAAGAAUACUGGCUGUUCUUCCAGAGACCCGGGUUCAGUUCCCAGCACCCAUGUGGUAGCUCAUGGCUGUGGUAAUCACAGUCCCACACUAUCUUUGGGCCUCUGUGGGCACCAGGUACUGCAUGCAUGCGACACACAGACAUACACAGGCAAAAUACCCAGACACAUAAAAGUUGGGAAAAAAAGAAACUCAACUCGCUUGGUGCGCUGGCUUUCGGGCAGGCGGGCAAACGGGCAGGCGGGCUCCUGGAUGUCUCAGCAGUGCGCUAUCAGCGUGGUAGCUGAGUACAUUUCUUAGGCCAGGACAAACUGUGGAAAGGAUCUCCCAGAAGUCCAAGGGGGAAAAACCCAGAAAACCAGGUAAGGAAAUGAAGUUGGAGCUCAUGUGAGUACCCACGGCUCCCUGUGCCAGGCAAUACUCAGUACUAGGACAGGGACACAGGAGGUCCCAGCUACAGCUCGCUUUGGAAGAAGGGCGGUGCAGACUGCUUUCGGUCUGGAGCCUGCCUGUCAUUCCCACAACUCUGAAAGCCAUGGGUCUCUCCAUCCCCCGCUUGUCACUCUGGUGCCAGUUUUGGGCCCUGGCCCAUAGCUUUUAGUGUUUCUGCUAAUUUCACUUCUCUGAAAUGUUCUCCACACAACAGCCACUGUCAUCUUUCCUAAAACAAAUCACAUCGUGUUCCUCUCCCACUUAGGAUCUCUGAGUUGCACCCACUGCCCUUUUCCACUGCUCAGCCUACUCGCCUGUGGCCUUCAGCUUCUGGAACAUGCCCAGCUUCUUCCUGCUUCCUGGCCUCUCAGACUUGCCUUCAUCUGCUAACAUACCUUCUAAAUCACCACCCACCCCCACUCUGGACAUGAUUCCCAGGGUUAAGUUGCCCUUCAGUUGCCUGCUGAAUGCCUUUUUAACACUUCCAAAUCCUGUUGCUGUAAGCUCUCUUCCUCCCGGAUCCAGCAUGGCUGCCACUCAACAGGCUUCUGUUAUGGGAUGAAUUCCCAAGCUAGAGUGACACACAGGGCCACCAGCUUGGAUACAGCAGCCCAGCAGUCUGCAAGGCUCUCUGCAGUGCCUGGCCACGGGGAUUAAGGCCUCAGACAAGCAAGCAGUGAAGGUCACAAAGGGCCCAGAGUGACCCAGACUGAGUCCUAAAGCUCAAGAAGUCUGCACACAGAGUGUCCUACGGACUGCACAGCCUGGCCUUCCUCGUGUUACUGUUUCCACAGAAGCUCCAGAACCAAGUUUACUGUUUAUUGUUCCAGGUGAGAGCAAAAAAGGCUUGAUUUUUGCCAUACUUUUUUUCUUUUUCUUUUUUGAGACAGGGAUUCAUGUGGCCUAGGGGAACCAAAGAUGACGUUGUGAACUGCUGAUUCUCCAGCCACCAUCUCAAGUGCUGGACUUAUGGGCAUGCCCUGUUUACGUGAUACUCGGGACCAAGUCCAGAGUAAGCACUUCAACAACUGACCAAGUCUUCAGCCCAUACAUUUUUAUAACACCCAAGUAAAGUUGCUCAGAUUGUCAUUUAGAAAUCUACAAUAGUUUCAACAUGUAUUGAACCCCAAACACUGUCAUGCUUGAAAAAAUAACACCAAUUGCUUGAGACAUAAGAGUUUAGACAAGACAUUAACGGUGUCAUAAAUAAGUAAUAUAACUUUAUUAAAAUGAAAAGACAAUAUUCAAAAUAA